GACCUCAAAUCAGGUAGGACUACCCGCUGAACUUAAGCAUAUCAAUAAGCGGAGGAAAAGAAACUAACAAGGAUUCCCCUAGUAACUGCGAGUGAAGCGGGAAAAGCUCAAAUUUAAAAUCUGCCGGUCUUUUGGUCGUCCGAGUUGUAAUCUAGAGAAGUGUUAUCCGCGUUGGACCGUGUACAAGUCUCCUGGAAUGGAGCGUCAUAGAGGGUGAGAAUCCCGUCUUUGACACGGACUACCAGUGCUUUGUGAUGCGCUCUCAAAGAGUCGAGUUGUUUGGGAAUGCAGCUCAAAAUGGGUGGUAAAUUCCAUCUAAAGCUAAAUAUUGGCGAGAGACCGAUAGCGAACAAGUACCGUGAGGGAAAGAUGAAAAGAACUUUGGAAAGAGAGUUAAACAGUACGUGAAAUUGCUGAAAGGGAAACGC
rnacentral:rRNA from 1 species